GUUGCCCAAGUCUUCGUAGUAUUAUUGGGGCUAUAAAAAGACACGAGCCCUAUAUAUCCCCUGUCCUUAUGCUUGAGGAAAAAUGGAUAUCAAAAUGCUUUUUGUGGUUUGGAAAGUCCUUUUGAUCUGUACCCUCCUCUUGGCUUUUCAAGUGGCUGCCAGGGAACUGCUCCAGACUUCGGAUUCCCUUGUCCCUCAGAUGUCACCUAUAGAGAAGUUACGCAGACGCGAUGUUCCGUGGGGCCAUAACCCAUGAAAUUAAUUUCAUCUCUUCCGGAAUAAGAGGCUCCUCAUCAGGACUAAUAUUUGGGUUCGAGUCUCAUAUAUAGUUGUGGGCUGCUAUUUUUGCUUUUCUAUAUUUUUCUAGCAAUAAUUGGAAAAAAAAAAGAAGAGUAAAUUAUCUAAUGAAAUUGUAGUGAAAUCCUACUUACCAAAAAAAAUUAUAGUGAAAUCUUGUACUCCAUAAAUAACUUCAAUUGUAACAUUGUCGUUUGUUGUUUCUA